ensembl:lncRNA
UCCAGCCGGCCUCCUGUCUGUGGGUGUUUGAGUGCUGAGAGGUUUGUGGAUCCAUGUGAACGUUCUGUGUUGAAACAGCAGCUUUGGACUCAGUAACGCCGGGAAAAACCAAGAGCUCCUUUAUUUGUGACUUCCACUAAAAAAACUGAUGAAAAUAAGUUUGCCAGGGUUCUGACUGAUAACAGAUUAUUAAAUAAUGAAAAUAAUCGUGGAACAUACCAUUAAACUCACCUUUUAGGUCUAUAUUGGAGGAUUUUAGGUGGAAUUUUCUUCCAAACCGUCUUUUAGUCUACAUUUAAGGAUGUUUAGAAUGGUAUAUUCUUCCAAACCAACUUCUCAGGUCUACAUUUCAGGUGGAAUAUUCCUCCAUACUAACUUUUUUGGUCUACAUUGAAGGAUUUUUUCUAAACCACCCUUUCGGGUCUAUAUUUGAGGUUUUAGGUGGAAUAUUCCUUUUAAUCAGCCCCUCAGGUCUCUUUGAGGAUUUUGGAUGGAAUACUCGGUUAAACCAACAUUUUAGGUGCAUGUCCAAGGAUUCUUGGUGGAAUGUUCCUUUAAGGUGGAUGCGUGAGGACCUUGUAGGUGGAAUACU